AAUACUCCACAUGAUGGUAGAAGACAUGAGGGCGGGUAUGACAGCGGG
rnacentral:antisense_RNA from 1 species